UUGACAUAUAAACACCGGAAGUUGUGUUUCGUUUCCGGUAGCUUGACAUGCGCGGUUCUUUAGCAACUUCUCAUUUCGGUCGGCCCCGCCCCCUCCCCGAGGAUAGGAGUUGGGGGCGAUAUAGAGGGAAACCCCGCUAUUACCGCCGAAGCGAGUUUUCACGGUCCCAAACGAAAUAAAACUACUGCACCCGUCAGAAGCUCUCUUCUGUUCCUUGAGACCAAGGCUGUUACAUCUAUGAUGGCAAAGUGGUCAAUAACACACUGAGCUGUUUGUUCUUUCAUUGGAUAUCAAGUACGGAUUAGGAGUUCUACUUUACCUGAGACAGUGCGGUCUUUGGGAUCCCUCUGCAGUUUGACCCUGAGAUGCCUUCAUGCAUUUCUCCCCCGUCUGCCGGGAUGGUUUCUAUAAACAGCCACAUCGAUGAUUCAUACAGUAAGAGAACGGCAGUCAAUCACUCACAUUACCAUCAAGAAAGCCUUUCUAGCAUCCCAUGGGAACCAAAGCCAGACAGCAGAAUACACUAACAGCUUCACAGUUCUUUCUAAAUCAGAGCUACAACAAGGUCAAAGAGAGAAGACAAUCUGAAAACCACAGAUGGAAACCAGAUAGUGGGAAGAAAAGAGCUCCACUGAAAGAUCCAUCUGGGAGUUGGAGAGAUACGAAGAUGUGCUGCUGAAACCACAUGGUGAGAACACACAGCAGACUAUCUGAGCUGCUGCAUGGAGGUGGACUCCCCGACCAAAGCAAUAUGUCGUUCGUCUAGCAAAAAUCCUGCGUGGAUCUGACAGAAAAGCACCUCACAAACAGGAAACGGUCAGCUUUUCAGAGUAAAAGUUCCUCAACUCUUCCCAGGUGGCAGGGAGAGGAGUUUCUUAUAUUAUUUCUGUCUGGUGUAUUUUUUUAUUAUUUUUAUUGGAAUUCAGUAAGAAACAAAAUAAAAUAAAUGUAUUUGUAUUUGUCAGGUUAAAAUAAAAUAAAAACUUCAGUUGGACUCAGUUUUUUUGGCUUGAAGAUAUUUUACCUCUCAUCCAAAUGGAACAUCUUUAAGCCAAAAAAAAAAAAAUAGGUCCAAUCAAAUUUUGUAUUAUUUUGUUUUUGAUUAUAUCAUGACCUGGAUGACUGAGAAUCUACAUCAAAAUAUUUGUCAUAAACUUGAUGAAUCAGGAUUCCACCUUUCUCACUCAGCUUCUUUGAUUUGUGCUUGGAAGCGAAGCGGCGCCUCUCCCAUCUUGUGUAAGACUUCUCAGACUCGCACACGGAUUCCCGAUGAGCGCAGCGUGACAUGGAGCCUGAGCUACAGUACAUCCACUCUUAACAGGCUUCUCUUAUUAUGAACGGUGGUGGAAGCAGGAAACACAAUAAUGUCAGUUAAAUGUUAAACUUCUGCUGCAAGUACAUUACGAAAUACUACAUUUGUU